ensembl:lncRNA
CUCCCCUCCCCUCCCUCCCUCCCCCUACUUAUUUUCCUUCGCGGUUUAACUCCCAUAAACCAAGCCCAAGCAAAUGACACAAGUGGAGUGGCUCCUUUGGUGUCCCCAUUAAUCAAUCUGACACCUCCAUUCACAGCUUGGCCGCGGGAAGGGGGUGUUAAUCGCUGGUCUUUUUUAUUCUUGAAGGGUGUAGCAUUUUGCCAUAUGCUGGUACUUUCCCGAUCUCACUGUCUUGGGGCGAGGGAAUUAGUCGACCCUUAGUCUUCUGGGUAUAUAUGGCUGCUGGCUGCUUGUCUAUCUGUUAAGGCAAGGGACACGGAGAUAGACAAAUUACAGUCAGCGGAAAGCGGGCGGGGGUGGGGACAGAGGCGGAUGACAAUAUGUUAAAAAGCUAUUCCUAUUUUGUUGAUUGUAAAGAAACGAAUGAUAAAAUGCAUGCAGCCCAGAAGGUAUUUUGCUUUUUUUUUUUUUUUUUAGGACUCCCCAGGCUGCUUUUCUUUGUCCAUGAAAGGAGAGUCACGGUGGGAUCUGCUGAGAAGUCAGCCGCAGAGUUUGAUGACCUCUCUGGCAUGCUAGAACUUCACUUGAAGGUAUUGAACUUCCGACUAUAUCUAAAUUUUGGUUUGUUGGAUGCACAGAAAUAAGACUCUUGCUGUGGAACUCUAACUUCUCUUCUCUCUGUUUUCAAAAUGUUCAGAGUGCGAGAGCAAGCACGUCUUUCACUCUUAAAACCUAGGAGAUGUAGGGCCAGCCCAGAUACACAAAAAAUGUGACUUUUCCCACCCCCUGCUUUCCCUAGGUUGCAUCCACGCACAUAAAAAAGUGAGUUAGAAGUGGCUUAGAGGUAACAUGUGGCAGCUACUUUUCUCAUACCAUCUGUCACCCAUAUUAAAGGCCUGAAAAUGUGACAUAAGCUCUUUCAGUCUUAAGAAAUCAAGGGUCUUCCCAAAUGGUGAGGAUUAGAGAUGGGAUGGGAAGGAACGUGUAGCAGCUAUCUCCUUUAAAUUGCUUUUGAGCUGCAUUUUCCCCCUACUCCAUUGUGGAUGCAGACCAAGACAAGAGUGCCUUCCUACUGCAGGUUGAUCUAGUGUUUUUUUUUUUUAAAAAAACCUGUCCCAGUCGGAGUGUUUACUAGAGCAACACAUAUUUAAAGAGCAAAGGAAGUUGCUGGACAGCUAGAUCAAUAGAAACGUGGGAAAACCGGGGUGAAUGGGAUUUGGGGAGUCAUCAUUUAAACAAAGUGACGGAUUAUGCUCGAGCUUUCUCUCUUGGAAAGGGAAGCCCAGCCCAAACACUUGUUUUUAAACUGCCUUGGCCUGCUGCAGCGCUUCCCGCUGAACGAUGUUCAGACGGGGUCUGGUUCGAAGCCGACGUGCUAACUGCAGAAGGGUUUUGGCAGGUUUAAGUCUGAGUGCCUCGUCGGAACAGGGCUGCGGGUUAGACUGGCAGGCGACUAGGUGCCUCAAGGUCUGCGCGUGCCUUUUCCUAUGGCCCUUCAACGGUAGCAGGCGAGAGGAACAGUUUGACUGCCAGGCGGAGCAGAGACUCAAAAUACUAAGACGUUCGGUCUCCUGUGGGAUCAGAUAAAAGAUAAGAGAUGCUACGGUGUCUAACUGGAUGAGGGAGGGGAAGGGGGCUUUCCCG